rnacentral:sRNA from 1 species
UUGACAAGGCCACUUCAUCAUCAAGCUUCUGCCUGCCCGCAUUCUCAUGGAAAUCCCCCUCCUCAGACUCAGCCUCCGCCUCAAGUGGAUUAUGUUAUUCCUCAUCCUGUACAUGCUUUCCAUUCUCAAAUAUCUUCUCAUGCAACAUCUCAUCCUGUGGCACCCCCACCACCAACUCACUUAGCCAGUACAGCUGCACCAAUCCCUCAGCAUCUUCCUCCUACACACCAGCCAAUUUCGCACCAUAUUCCAGCCACAGCACCUCCAGCACAGAGACUGCAUCCUCAUGAAGUGAUGCAGAGGAUGGAAGUUCAAAGGAGGAGGAUGAUGCAGCAUCCAACGCGGGCACAUGAACGCCCCCCACCCCAUCCACAUAGGAUGCACCCAAACUAUGGUCAUGGGCAUCAUAUUCAUGUGCCUCAGACUAUGUCCUCACAUCCUCGACAGGCUCCAGAGAGGUCUGCCUGGUCAGUAUCUUCUUUAAUUUCAAAACAGUGCUUCACAGCUUGUGGUAAAACUAUUGGAAAAGAUGCCUUGUGAUUGACUGCUUUGCAGAAGGGUGAUGUGGAGAAACCUA